rnacentral:ncRNA from 1 species
UUUUUAGACGAAUUUUAAAAGGGAACGGAGUGAGAAUCUCCGGCGAUCCGGUCACUGUGAUCCAGGAGCGUGCCCCCGUAAGCCAUUGCGGCAGAUGUCGUGAGAAGGCGGAGGAUAUGCGAUGAUAGGUAAGCCAGGAAACCUGCUUGACAAA